rnacentral:rRNA from 1 species
GAUGAACGCUGGCGGCGUGCUUAACACAUGCAAGUCGAACGAUGAAGCCCAGCUUGCUGGGUGGAUUAGUGGCGAACGGGUGAGUAACACGUGAGUAACCUGCCCUUAACUCUGGGAUAAGCCUGGGAAACUGGGUCUAAUACCGGAUAGGAGCGUCCACCGCAUGGUGGGUGUUGGAAAGAUUUAUCGGUUUUGGAUGGACUCGCGGCCUAUCAGCUUGUUGGUGAGGUAAUGGCUUACCAAGGCGACGACGGGUAGCCGGCCUGAGAGGGUGACCGGCCACACUGGGACUGAGACACGGCCCAAACUCCUACGGGAGGCAGCAGUGGGGAAUAUUGCACAAUGGGCGCAAGCCUGAUGCAGCGACGCCGCGUGAGGGAUGACGGCCUUCGGGUUGUAAACCUCUUUCAGUAGGGAAGAAGCGAAAGUGACGGUACCUGCAGAAGAAGCACCGGCUAACUACGUG